AUUGAACGCUGGCGGCAGGCCUAACACAUGCAAGUCGAGCGGAUGAAGGGAGCUUGCUCCUGGAUUCAGCGGCGGACGGGUGAGUAAUGCUUAGGAAUCUGCCUGGUAGUGGGGGAUAACGUCCGGAAACGGGCGCUAAUACCGCAUACGUCCUGAGGGAGAAAGUGGGGGAUCUUCGGACCUCACGCUAUCAGAUGAGCCUAGGUCGGAUUAGCUAGUUGGUGGGGUAAAGGCCUACCAAGGCGACGAUCCGUAACUGGUCUGAGAGGAUGAUCAGUCACACUGGAACUGAGACACGGUCCAGACUCCUACGGGAGGCAGCAGUGGGGACUAUUGGACAAUGGGCGAAAGCCUGAUCCAGCCAUGCCGCGUGUGUGAAGAAGGUCUUCGGAUUGUAAAGCACUUUAAGUUGGGAGGAAGGGCAGUAAGUUAAUACCUUGCUGUUUUGACGUUACCAACAGAAUAAGCACCGGCUAACUUCGUG
rnacentral:rRNA from 1 species